rnacentral:rRNA from 1 species
UACAGAGGGGGCAAGCGUUGUUCGGAAUUACUGGGCGUAAAGGGCGCGUAGGCGACCUGCUAAGUCGAACGUGAAAUCCCCGGGCUCAACCCGGGAACUGCGUCCGAUACUGGCAGGCUUGAAUCCGGGAGAGGGAUGCGGAAUUCCAGGUGUAGCGGUGAAAUGCGUAGAUAUCUGGAGGAACACCGGUGGCGAAGGCGGCAUCCUGGACCGGUAUUGACGCUGAGGCGCGAAAGCCAGGGGAGCAAACAGGG